ACUGCUGGCUUUGGCAGCACAUACUAAAAUUGGAACAAUACAGAGAAGAUUAACAUGACCCCUGCACAAGGAUGAUGUGCAAAUUCAUGAGGUGUUCAGUAUUUUU
ensembl:snRNA U6 U6 spliceosomal RNA